AUACGGAGGGUGCAAGCGUUGUUCGGAAUCACUGGGCGUAAAGGGCGCGCAGGCGGUUUGGUAAGUCAGAUGUGAAAGCCCACGGCUCAACCGUGGAAGUGCAUUUGAAACUGUCAGACUUGAGUACUAGAGGGGAAAGUGGAAUUCCCGGUGUAGAGGUGAAAUUCGUAGAUAUCGGGAGGAAUACCGGUGGCGAAGGCGACUUACUGGACCAAUACUGACGCUGAGACGCGAAAGCGUGGGGAGCAAACAGGAUUAGAUACCCCAGUAGUCC
rnacentral:rRNA from 1 species